CAAGCGCAACACAACCGGAAAUAUGGCUAACGGAAAGAAGGAGAAAGUGGCUAAAAAGCUCCCAACAGUACCAGAAUCUGUGCUGAAAAGAAGAAAGCGCCGCGAUACCGCGAAAGCAGUUCGUCUACGACUUCAAUGAAGGAAAAUACAAUGCUAUAUGUAGGGAAGAUUUAAUCAAUACGCCAAUCAUUUCUUCUGGCCAUUUAAGGAAAGAACAAUUUUAUAUGAUUCUGUAGGGAAGAUUUAAUUAAUACGCCAAUCAUUUCUUCUGGCCAUUUAAGGAAAGAACAAUUUUAUAUGAUUCUGUAGGGAAGAUUUAAUUAAUACGCCAAUCAUUUCUUCUGGCCAUUUAAGCUUAGCACACCAGGUGAAGGUUAGUGCUAGAAGAGCAACAGAGCAGAUGCAUAGGAACUUUUUUUCUAGAGUGAAAUCCUGUUAUAUAUAUUUUUGUUAAAUUUAAAAUUAAAUAAAAAUUUAUUUCAAGUAAA